rnacentral:rRNA from 1 species
UACGAAGGGGGCUAGCGUUGCUCGGAAUCACUGGGCGUAAAGGGUGCGUAGGCGGGUCUUUAAGGCAGGGGUGAAAUCCUGGAGCUCAACUCCAGAACUGCCUUUGAUACUGAGGAUCUUGAGUACGGGAGAGGUGUGUGGAACUCCGAGUGUAGAGGUGAAAUUCGUAGAUAUUCGGAAGAACACCAGUGGCGAAGGCGACACACUGGCCCGUUACUGACGCUGAGGCGCGAAAGCGUGGGGAGCAAACAGG